AGGAUCAGACAUAAGGAUUGUUAUCAUGCAAAAAACAGGAUUUUCUUAAGUGAACAUCGGGAAAAAAUGUAGGGAGAAGUCUAGGCAAGCAUUCAUACUCAGAAUGAAGCCCACGCCUUUUGAUCCAACCCACUUCACAAAGCAAUGAAGUAAUUGCUGUAGAAGAGGUUGCGAGAGCCACAAUGCUACACUAGUGCAAGAGCUAGGGCCCUCUUCCUUUACCCCCAAUGUUCACUAAGAAAAUGUUUUCUCACUCAGACCUUUUACUAAGCCAUCAUUUCCUUUCACUCUGAACAUCAAACAUAAAAAUCAAAAACACGACCAAUUCAAUUUUUUUAUCUCAAUUCGAAAGUUUCAUGUAAAUGAGUAAGCCUGCAUUAGAUGGCCUUUUUAUUCGGAAUCCAUUGUCUUUAGGCAUACAAAGACAGCACAAUGCUCAAGCUACAUGUGUAAAUCUUAGCUUUACAUGAUUAGCCAUCAUGUCUAGACUUUAGACAGAAUCAAUUUAGCUAGUAGCGAGAGAUAUCAACAAACAUCCUCGUCUCAUUUGAGAGUAGCCUUGCCUAAGCUACAAUUACAAAUUAGAGGCAUAUAAACUGUUUUCCUAAGCAUCGGAUGAUCAUAUUUCAACAUCACUCUAGAAUGCAUUAUACCAUCAGAAACACCGUUAAAAAAAUGCAUCCGGCUCGCGCGUAGCAGCAGCGCAUCUUGCAUCCUGGGAGGGGCGAGCGAGGGAUUUGAGGAAGGGGAGGAUGCAAACCUUGAGGCCGAUGUAGCGGUCGCUGUGCGGCCUCUUGAACUGCUUCACCCGCUUCUUCACGAUCUUCUUCGUCAGCAACGGCACCGCCAUCUGCACGCGAAAAACAGCCGCGUUAGGGAUACGGGGGGGGGAGGAGAACGUCACCGGAAAACCACGCGGCGGCGAGCCGGAGCGCACGUUACCUUCGCGAACCCCUGCGGCGGGCGGCGGCUGGGUGGGGAAUGAAGGGGUUCUUAUGGCGGCGCGAGAACCCUAGGCGGUGGGCUCGGUGAGAUGGGCCGCCGCGAGUGGGCCGGGAAAAUCACGGCCCACGCGAACGUCUCGAUUGGGCCGAGAACCUGCGAGACUGUAGGAGUACAUGGGCCGUCGCGGUCGGUUCUGUGCAGCGAGCCCAAGGCCGUCGCCUGCGUUGCGGCUUGUGUCGCCUUCGCUAUCGUAGAGAGAGCAUCACACGCUCAAUGAAUCUAAGAGCAAGUACUGUACUAGCCAGUAUAGGUUUACACACAUGUGAAUAAGAGAGAAGAGGUGAGAAGAAAAACGAGUUAUAAAUUUAUAUCUAGCUACAACCUGAGCUUCAAGAUAUUACGUGAGUGUAAUACGUAGACCAAAGUAUUAAUGGUGCGAUAUAUAAUUUAUAUAAAACUAUUGAGCGUGAUCGGCAGUGCUGGCUGCUGCAGCAGCUACGGCUGCGAGAGCUAAAAAUCAGCUGCAGCAGCAGCAGCCAAAAAGGGCCAUAGCCGUGAUGGCUGCAGCAGCCAGCAGUUCCGAUCAGCCCUAUGAAUAAGAUAUUUAGAGAGAUCAUAUAUGAUAUAUUAAUUUUUAAAGCUAGCAAUUGGCUAUACUUAAUUCCUACUUCAACGAUCAUUGAGCAAUGGCCACCGCGCCAAUACCGCUGCCACGGCGAAAUAAGCCGCCACAACCGUGUAACAAUACACCGGAACCUUGGACAACGUGGCCGCGAAACUGUCGACGAAGCGCAAAUGCUCGUGGGUGCCUCAUCACCACCAAACUGGCGGUGCGGACGUUCACAGCCACGCAAUAAGCCGUGCAGCAGACGUUGAUCGAGCAAACAUUUCAGAAUUAGUUUUUUACUCUGAGCAAGUGAUGCAUGUGCGUCAAACUCAUCUAUAUCCAUGCAGUACAAUAAUAUUUCUUUAUUUCGAUAUAUAUAAUCAGAAUCAAAAGAAAAGGGAAAGAACAACAAUUAAUCAGUAAUCACCAGGAAACUACUCGAAACUUAGCGAAUGCGUCGUUGUUCUUCUUCAUCCACGGCUCAACCAUUAUUUCGAGUCGAUUUGUUUGAAUCUCCGGAAGAUGAAAAAUAAAGAUAAAAAUUAAACGUUUCACGUAAAACGAGGUGAUACUAACGUAUGAUUAAUUAAGUUUUAAUUAUUACAAAACUUGAAAAAUGGAUUAAUAUGAUAUUUUAUAGCAACUUUCAUAUAGAAAGUUUUUACACAAAACGCACCGUUUAACAGUUUAAAAAACGUGCCACGAUAAUCCAAAAUUUCAUCCAACAGUUUGUUGGAUAAACGAACGCUGCCAGAAGUCGGGAGAUUAAUAGGCAGCUUCUUCAUCCGUGGCUCAACCAACCAUUUAGAAACAGAGCCGGCUGAACCAUUUAGAAAUAUAGUCGAUUUAAAAGCAACGUCAGAAGCUUAACCAUGUAGAACAUAGUUAAGAGAGAUUUUUAUGUACAUAGAGUGGGCCACUCGGCCCAGCUAUUCAGAAACAGGGUCGGAACAGAUUAGUAGGCAUCAUCUAACACGGGAAUUUGCAUCGUUAAAACAUCUCGUGUUCCAAGCUAGGCAACGCAAGAUGCCAAAAUUAAUCCACAUUCAUGAGCAAGUUUACUACUAGCGACGUCAGAAUCAUCGCAUCGACGCACACUUGAUUUCUUCGACCAAUUCAUCAAUGUGUAAGCACACACUCUGAGAAACGCCCACGGAUAGCUAGCUCCACACUUGAUUUCUUCGAGGUCUAACCUUUUUAAUUAUUCGAUAUUAGAUCAUUCCCUGUUAUUCGUAUUUUUUUAAGCGCGCACUCACUCUAGGUCAUUAAUAUUUCCUAUAUUAAUAUAAAUCAGAAAAAAAAACAAUAUAUCUUGAUUAAAUAUAGACAUUAAUCUUCCUAUUGCUUGUUCCGACAUAUAUAAAACUUAGCAGUAACAAAAGGAAUAAAAAUGGGAGAAACAAUCAAUCCCAGAAACUACUACUUAAAUUCCGAUCAAAAUUAGUCGUGAACGCCACGCCGCGCGCCACCGCCAAAGAGGCUUCACGUCGCCGUCGCGCGAUCACAACAAUAUGCACGCCGCCACCAAACACGACCCCAGAAUCAACAGGAGAGACGCCGGAACACUCGCCGCCGUGGCCGCCGCGGAGUACCCGGCCGGCGGCGGCGGCGGCGCGCCACCGCCAUCUCGCGCGCGGCGCGUCCUCCUCAUCGCCGCCGACGUAUUGGCUGAAGCAGACGCUGCAGCCACGCUACAGAUGAGGAUCGCCGACAUGCUGACGGAUGGAUGGAUCGAUCGAUGAAGAGCGUCCCAGAAAUUCACGCGCCUUGAUUGAUUGAUUUGCAACGCGAACCCUAAGCGAUCUGUGGAGGAGGAGGAGCGCCCGCCGCUCGUAAGAUUUAUACUGGGAUGGAUAUCUCCCGCGCCGACUCGGAAUCGAUCACGGUCGCGGGAACAAAGCCGAAGCCGAAACUCUAUCUGAUUGGCCCGCACGGCAAUCCGAAUAGGAAUAAGUUCACUUUUAGGUCCACUCGCUUGCAUGUUACUCCCCGUCCCAUUUUGCAGUCGCGGUUUCCGUGUCUAAUAUUUAAUCGUUCGUAUUAUUUAAAAUUUUUUUAAAAAAAUAAGUUAUACAUAAAGUACUAUUUAUGUCUUAUCAUCUAAUAACAACAAAAAUACAAGCAAAUUUUGCCUAAAAGAAUUUCAAAUAAGAUAAACGGUUAAACGUCGGACACAGAAAACUACAGCUGCACUUAAAA
rnacentral:lncRNA from 1 species